AGUGAACGCUGGCGGUAGGCCUAACACAUGCAAGUCGAACGGCAGCACAGUAAGAUCUUGCUCUUACGGGUGGCGAGUGGCGGACGGGUGAGGAAUACAUCGGAAUCUACUUUUUCGUGGGGGAUAACGUAAGUAAACUUACGCUAAUACCGCAUACGACCUACGGGUGAAAGCAGGGGAUCUUCGGACCUUGCGCGAUUGAAUGAGCCGAUGUCGGAUUAGCUAGUUGGCGGGGUAAAGGCCCACCAAGGCGACGAUCCGUAGCUGGUCUGAGAGGAUGAUCAGCCACACUGGAACUGAGACACGGUCCAGACUCCUACGGGAGGCAGCAGUGGGGAAUAUUGGACAAUGGGCGCAAGCCUGAUCCAGCCAUACCGCGUGGGUGAAGAAGGCCUUCGGGUUGUAAAGCCCUUUUGUUGGGAAAGAAAAGCAGCAGGUUAAUACCCAGCUGUUCUGACGGUACCCAAAGAACAAGCACCGGCUAACUUCGUG
rnacentral:rRNA from 1 species